AACGAACGCUGGCGGCAUGCCUAACACAUGCAAGUCGAACGAGACCUUCGGGUCUAGUGGCGCACGGGUGCGUAACGCGUGGGAACCUGCCCUUAGGUUCGGAAUAACUCCCAAAAAGGGGUGCUAAUACCGGAUAAUGUCUUCGGACCAAAGAUUUAUCGGCUUUGGAUGGGCCCGCGUUGGAUUAGCUAGUUGGUAGGGUAAAAGCCUACCAAGGCGACGAUCCAUAGCUGGUCUGAGAGGAUGAUCAGCCACACUGGGACUGAGACACGGCCCAGACUCCUACGGGAGGCAGCAGUGGGGAAUAUUGGACAAUGGGCGAAAGCCUGAUCCAGCAAUGCCGCGUGAGUGAUGAAGGCCUUAGGGUUGUAAAGCUCUUUUACCCGGGAUGAUAAUGACAGUACCGGGAGAAUAAGCUCCGGCUAACUCCGUG
rnacentral:rRNA from 1 species